UACAGAGGGUGCGAGCGUUAAUCGGAAUUACUGGGCGUAAAGCGCACGUAGGCGGCUUGGUAUGUCGGGUGUGAAAUCCCCGGGCUCAACCUGGGAACUGCAUCCGAAACUGCCUUGCUCGAGUAUGGGAGAGGGAAGUGGAAUUUCCGGUGUAGCGGUGAAAUGCGUAGAUAUCUGGAGGAACACCGGUGGCGAAGGCGGCAUCCUGGACCGGUAUUGACGCUGAGGCGCGAAAAGCUAGGGGAGCAAACAGGG
rnacentral:rRNA from 1 species